CGGUUGCCAUCGACGUCGUCACCGUUGUAUUUCUUGGGCCGGGCCAACCAUUUGGGACGGAGAAGUCUCGGCCCAACGUGUGGCUUCAGAAUAGAGGAAGCCCGAUCCAAACAGCUUGCAGCCUUGCACUGCGAUGGCGGCGGCGAUGGCGGCGGCGGCGGGCGCCGCCGCCGCGUCCUGCCUUGCUUCUCGCCGGUGGCCGCGACAAUCUAGAAGAUAAUAGGAGGGCUUAUGUUAUCUGACACAAGAGAGCUGGUGAACUGUGUUUACUUGAGGCGGAUGCAAAUACUGCGGUUUCCAACACUGCGGCCAAUGGAUGCCAGAGGAAACAAGAAAUUGUCAUAUUUCUUCUUUGAAAGAAAUACUUGGGAUGAUUUCAUUUUUAUGGAAUAUCAAAGGAAACAUCUUCCAAUUGAUUUGGGGGUAAAGGGUGCUAUUAUCAUUUAGACAGAGUGCUAGGAUGUAACUCUUUCCUUUUUUGUUCAAAUCAUCAUGAUUUGGACUUUUGUUUAAAUUAACAGGUCCUUACGAUUU